CGGGUGAGUAAUGUCUGGGAAACUGCCCGAUGGAGGGGGAUAACUACUGGAAACGGUAGCUAAUACCGCAUAAUGUCUACGGACCAAAGCGGGGGACCUCCGGGCCUCGCGCCAUCAGAUGAGCCCAUAUGGGAUUAGCUUGUAGGUAAGGUAACGGCUUACCUAGGCGACGAUCCCUAGCUGGUCUGAGAGGAUGAUCAGCCACACUGGGACUGAGACACAGCCCAG
rnacentral:rRNA from 1 species